AAAACAGCAAGCUUUUAGGCUCAGAAAGCUCAGACCAUCAUGGCUACGAAAACCGAACUGUGAGUCAGGAAGGAAAAAAAGGCGAUUCUGGAGCUCCUUAGUGAAACAGCAAGGCAAAACAACAUCAGAGCAGUUGCCAAGUGAUCUUCUCCACAGUACCCAUGAACUUCAGCCUUGAACUGAAGAGGACUCAUCAAAUGCUUGGGAGAUACAGCAUUGGAAUUGGAAGAGAAGCAGGGAUCUGCAUGAAGAACAGUCAACUGCAGUCUUGGUGUUUGAAGAGGCAGGUCCUGUUCUCACUGUUACUACUCCCACAUAGGUGGACUCUGUAACUGAUCAUGUGUGGGUAGGGCCCUAUUGAAAUUAAGGAGAUUCUGCCAUUGUACAGGGUUCUGUUUGUGAAAAUUCAAUUGCAAGAUCAGGACCCUACUGUGACUCCUUACUGUGCAUACUGUCAGUGUAUCAUUGAUUGUGCUGGAACCUGCCUUAUGGGAUAAUUACCAAAUAAUAUAUUCCUCAAAACUUCUUAAUGGCACUGAGGCUUUGUGGAUAGUUGGUCACAUGAUGAGAAAAUUCAGCUGCCCAUCAAGACUACUUCUACCUGAUAUCUCUUCUUCAGUAUCAAGAGGUUGACACUGAUUUUCAUCAACAUGUGAUGCCAGCUUCCAUCACUCAGUCGUUAAAUUUUCAGACAACACUGGAUACUUUCUCUUCAGCUGCCUCUCAUGCAUUGGUUGACUUCUUCAUAAACAGAACUGCUCACUAUCUUCCUUUAAAAUCUUCUUAAUGUGUUAUGUACUGUGAAGGUUAAAACAACCCAAGUAGACAAUAGGUAUAUUGCAAAUACAUUAAUGCCAAUGCUUGUCACAGUCGUACUGUGUCACUGCCUUUGUACUCUGCCAUAAUUUCUCUCUCGUCUCCUAUGUGUAGAAUUCAAGCACGUUGACGUUUUGUUCUAUGUUUAUUUGUGGCCCAGAGAAAUGGUAACGGGUCCAGGGUGAGGCCUCAUAAGA